AGCUUCUAGCAUUACCACGUCCUUAACGUUUGCCGGGCUGAUGGACGUGAAAGGGUGGCACCAACACCAGCCCAAUGAUCUUGAUGUCAAGGAGCCACUUUCUGAAAAUGGGCAGCACACAUCUGAACAACUGGCAGAGAGACUCAAGAUACUGGCAAAAUGUACAUUUAUAAAGCACAAGACUUUGGAGCUACAGAUACAGAAAAGAGAGCCAGCUCUAGGGGUGCAGGAAUAAAAUCAGUGACCAGGGAUAGGCCAGAGCUCCACAGUGG